rnacentral:rRNA from 1 species
AGUGAACGCUGGCGGUAGGCCUAACACAUGCAAGUCGAACGGCAGCACAGUAAGAGCUUGCUCUUACGGGUGGCGAGUGGCGGGCGGGUGAGGAAUACAUCGGAAUCUACUUUUUCGUGGGGGAUAACGUAGGGAAACUUACGCUAAUACCGCAUACGACCUACGGGUGAAAGCAGGGGAUCUUCGGACCUUGCUCGAUUGAAUGAGCCGAUGUCGGAUUAGCUAGUUGGCGGGGUAAAGGCCCACCAAGGCGACGAUCCGUAGCUGGUCUGAGAGGAUGAUCAGCCACACUGGAACUGAGACACGGUCCAGACUCCUACGGGAGGCAGCAGUGGGGAAUAUUGGACAAUGGGCGCAAGCCUGAUCCAGCCAUACCGCGUGGGUGAAGAAGGCCUUCGGGUUGUAAAGCCCUUUUGUUGGGAAAGAAAAGCAGCAGGUUAAUACCCCGCUGUUCUGACGGGACCCAAAGAAUAAGCACCGGCUAACUUCGU